AACGAACGCCGGCGGCAGGCCUAAUACAUGCAAGUCGAACGGAUCCUUCGGGAUUAGUGGCGGACGGGUGAGUAACACGUGGGAACGUGCCCUUUGGUUCGGAACAACUCAGGGAAACUUGAGCUAAUACCGGAUGUGCCCUUCGGGGGAAAGAUUUAUCGCCAUUGGAGCGGCCCGCGUCUGAUUAGCUAGUUGGUGGGGUAAAGGCCUACCAAGGCGACGAUCAGUAGCUGGUCUGAGAGGAUGAUCAGCCACAUUGGGACUGAGACACGGCCCAAACUCCUACGGGAGGCAGCAGUGGGGAAUCUUGCGCAAUGGGCGAAAGCCUGACGCAGCCAUGCCGCGUGAAUGAUGAAGGUCUUAGGAUUGUAAAAUUCUUUCACCGGGGACGAUAAUGACGGUACCCGGAGAAGAAGCCCCGGCUAACUUCGUGCCAGCCGCCGCAGUAAGAC
rnacentral:rRNA from 1 species